CAGGCCAUGAAAGAACAAAGGAGGAUAUCAUUCUGCGUCGUAUGGGUUUUUGUUGUUUGCUUCGAGCACCGGCUGCAGUCUUGCGUCCCGUUCAGACACAUUUCUCUCCAACGCUUCGAGACGUCGCUUUCGCCGAAAUUCAAUGAAUUUUGAAGUCCAGCGUUUAGUGUUUCAUCGUGGGUCGCCCGAAGG